rnacentral:lncRNA from 1 species
AUGCCGACCCCGCGCAGCCGCGCUGCGAUUGGCUCGGCCGCGGAGUGGGGCGGGGCUCUCCCCGCCGGGACGCAGCGGGCCCGGCAGUGGGGGGGCGGUGAGGGUCGAGGCGCGAGGGAUGCGUUGCGCCCGGAGCCGGGGCUGGGGCGGGGCCGCUGGGGGCGGUGCGGGGCCGCGGGGCGGGCGCGAAGCAGCGAAGAGAUCGCGUGGUUUGUCUGUAUUUUAUGUCCCAGGGGGAAAAGGGGCUCAGGGCGCUCCGCGCGGCUCCCAGCCGCCCAUCAGCAGGUAGGAGUGGUUGGCGAUGUCCGUGCUGGGCGCCGGGCGGCUGGCAGCGGGCUCCGGCGGAGGAUCCCCGGGCUCGCCGCGGGGUCCGGGCAGCACCUCCAGCAGGCAGGGCAGCACGGCGUCCUCCGGCGGCUGCUUGUAGAAGGCGCUGGGCUGGGGAGGGCGGAGAGGAUGCGCUCGGGGCGGCCCUGGGGCUGCGGGACAGCCGGAGGCGGCCCGGCCCGGCCCGGCGCUCACCUGGCCCUGCUUGGGGCUGUCGUGCAGGAAGGUGCCCAGCGCGCGGUGCAGGUCGGGGACGGGCGGCCACAGCCUCUGCUUCACGCUGCUGAGGGGGCAGCAGGGCGUCGUGGGCAGAGCCCCGGCCCCGGGCACCCCGCUGCCUGCAACGCGGCCUUACCUGUACAAGGAGGGGAAGAUGCACCGCAGCCCCAGCAGCACCCCCGUGAAGAUCAGCGGCGCCACCGUCACGCUCGGGAUCACCCAGCCUGCGAUGGAGGAGCGGUUCUGCAGAGCCUUGUCCCGCCUGUGCACCCUCAGCCCCGCCCGGCCCUUACCCGCCUCAGCCGUGACAUCAGCCACCACGGGCUGGGACCACGCGCUCCAGCUGCCCUGGUACUGCGGCCCACCGGGCUGCGCCCGCACCUGAGCACGAUAGCGGGCACCGGGCCUGAGGUCCAGCACUUCCUUCCUGGCCGCCCGCGGGACCUGCAGCACCUGUGGGCAGAGCUGAGCUGGGGCUGUGUGGGGCCUGCGGCUGUCCCGUGCCGGCCCCUGCAUCACCUUCCAGUCGGGGCUGUUGUCCGUGGCGUAGCGGACCUGGUACUCCAGUUGCUCCGCCAGCGCCUCCAGGGGUGGCAGCCACUGCAAGCUGAGCCGGCCCUGCGCUGCCGUCGCCUGCACGUGCUGUGGGGCCUCCGUGAGCACUGCGGGAUGGGGACGUGUAGCGAUGGGGACGUGUAG